rnacentral:rRNA from 1 species
UACGUAGGGGGCAAGCGUUCUCCGGAAUUACUGGGCGUAAAGCGCACGCAGGCGGUUCGCUAAGUUCGAAGUGACAAUCACCAGCUUAACUGGUGAGGUGCUUUGAAAACUGGUGGACUUGAGAGCGAGAGAGGGACACGGAACUCCGGGUGGAGCGGUGAAAUGCGUAGAGAUCCGGAAGAACACCAAAGGCGAAGGCAGUGUCCUGGCUCGUUUCUGACGCUCAAGUGCGACAGCUAGGGGAGCGGACGGG